rnacentral:rRNA from 1 species
GAGUUACGAUUUGAUGCAAGGUUAAGCAGUAAAUGUGGAGCCGUAGCGAAAGCGAGUCUGAAUAGGGCGUUUAGUAUUUGGUCGUAGACCCGAAACCAGGUGAUCUACCCUUGGUCAGGUUGAAGUUCAGGUAACACUGAAUGGAGGACCGAACCGACUUACGUUGAAAAGUGAGCGGAUGAACUGAGGGUAGCGGAGAAAUUCCAAUCGAACCUGGAGAUAGCUGGUUCUCUCCGAAAUAGCUUUAGGGCUAGCCUCAAGUGAUGAUUAUUGGAGGUAGAGCACUGUUUGGACGAGGGGCCCCUCUCGGGUUACCGAAUUCAGACAAACUCCGAAUGCCAAUUAAUUUAACUUGGGAGUCAGAACAUGGGUGAUAAGGUCCGUGUUCGAAAGGGAAACAGCCCAGACCACCAGCUAAGGUCCCAAAAUAUAUGUUAAGUGGAAAAGGAUGUGGCGUUGCCCAGACAACUAGGAUGUUGGCUUAGAAGCAGCCAUCAUUUAAAGAGUGCGUAAUAGCUCACUAGUCGAGUGACACUGCGCCGAAAAUGUACCGGGGCUAAACAUAUUACCGAAGCUGUGGAUUGUCCUUUGGACAAUGGUAGGAGAGCGUUCUAAGGGCGUUGAAGCAUGAUCGUAAGGACAUGUGGAGCGCUUAGAAGUGAGAAUGCCGGUGUGAGUAGCGAAAGACGGGUGAGAAUCCCGUCCACCGAUUGACUAAGGUUUCCAGAGGAAGGCUCG